GUGUUGGUGGUUUAGUGGUAGAAUUUUUGCCUGCCAUGCGGGAGGCCUGGGUUCAGUUCCCAGCCAAUGCA